rnacentral:rRNA from 1 species
UGAGCAAUCUGCCCUUCUCUUCGGAAUAAGCGUGGGAAACCGCGUCUAAUGCCGAAUACGACCUCCUUUCGCAUGACCGGAGGUGGAAAGCUCCGGCGGAGAAGGAUGAGCUCGCGGCCUAUCAGCUAGUUGGUGUGGGUAAUGGCCCACCAAGGCAACGACGGGUAGCUGGUCUGAGAGGAUGGCCAGCCACAUUGGGACUGAGACACGGCCCAGACUCCGUAGGGAGG